rnacentral:rRNA from 1 species
GAAAAGAAACUAACAAGGAUUCCCCUAGUAGCGGCGAGCGAAGCGGGAAGAGCUCAAAUUUAUAAUCUGGCACCUUCGGUGUCCGAGUUGUAAUCUCUAGAAAUGUUUUCCGCGUUGGACCGCACACAAGUCUGUUGGAAUACAGCGGCAUAGUGGUGAGACCCCCGUAUAUGGUGCGGACGCCCAGCGCUUUGUGAUACAUUUUCGAAGAGUCGAGUUGUUUGGGAAUGCAGCUCAAAUUGGGUGGUAAAUUCCAUCUAAAGCUAAAUAUUGGCGAGAGACCGAUAGCGAACAAGUACCGUGAGGGAAAGAUGAAAAGCACUUUGGAAAGAGAGUUAACAGUACGUGAAAUUGUUGGAAGGGAAACGCUUGAAGUCAGACUUGCUUGCCGAGCAAUCGGUUUGCAGGCCAGCAUCAGUUUUCCGGGAUGGAUAAUGGUAGAGAGAAGGUAGCAGUUUCGGCUGUGUUAUAGCUCUCUGCUGGAUACAUCUUGGGGGACUGAGGAACGCAGUGUGCCUUUGGCGGGGGUUUCGACCUCUUCACACUUAGGAUGCUGGUGGAAUGGCUUUAAACGACCCGUCUUGAA